GGACUGAAAGGUUGCACGGAGGCCCCAAGAAGCGCUCCUAUUGCAUGAAGCCACUGCAAGUUUGGAGAACAUCACCAGGAAGACCAGAGAGCCCAACACGGCGUUUGCAGUGGGAACCACAGAACACAGCCUUACUCACGUCCGCCUUUCCAGUGGAAUCACCUCAAGAAUCCUAGCUGCAAGGUCCCUAGAUCCUCUACAGAGAAGAAAGAGCAUGUUUGGCUUCUGAGAGAGUACAGGAUCCUUCACAGUCCCACCAGCUGAGUCAAUUGUGCAUGCCUGCAGCCUAGGCAUCUAUACAUCAAAACCUUGGAGUCCUGGCAUCUCACCCAGAUCCGGGGGCUGAUGGUCACACCCUGGGCAGAGCACUAUCAUUUAAUAGGGUCCUCCUAAGAGGAAGACAAGAAAGUCAAAGAUAGAGCAAGGAGAUGCAAUAAAGGAAGCAGAGAUUAGAGUAAUACAGUCUCCUCUUGAGCCUCCAGAAGGAAUGUAAUACCAGUUACACCUUGAUUUUAGCCUGGGCACGAGUCCUGAGACACACUGUGGCUAGGCCUGGAAGUCCAUGCUGGUGCCUAGAAGCAUAUGGGAUCUCUGUAAGGAUAGGAGAGUCUCCAGAAUCUGAAGAAGCGGAAUGAUGGAAGAGGGGAAACAUGCCACCUUGUGACAUUUCUAGAAAGAAUGGCCUGG